rnacentral:rRNA from 1 species
AUUGAACGCUGGCGGCAGGCUUAACACAUGCAAGUCGAGCGGAGAUGAGGUGCUUGCACCUUAUCUUAGCGGCGGACGGGUGAGUAAUGCUUAGGAAUCUGCCUAUUAGUGGGGGACAACAUUCCGAAAGGAAUGCUAAUACCGCAUACGUCCUACGGGAGAAAGCAGGGGAUCUCCGGACCUUGCGCUAAUAGAUGAGCCUAAGUCGGAUUAGCUAGUUGGUGGGGUAAAGGCCUACCAAGGCGACGAUCUGUAGCGGGUCUGAGAGGAUGAUCCGCCACACUGGGACUGAGACACGGCCCAGACGCCGACGGGAGGCAGCAGUGGGGAAUAUUGGACAAUGGGGGGAACCCUGAUCCAGCCAUGCCGCGUGUGUGAAGAAGGCCUUAUGGUUGUAAGGCACUUUAAGCGAGGAGGAGGCUACUGAGACUAAUACUCUUGGAUAGUGGACGUUACUCGCAGAAUAAGCACCGGCUAACUCUGUGCCAGCAGCAGCCGCGU